AUUAAGGUUCCCUGUGGAUAUAUGCCCAGGAGUGGGAUUGCUAGAUCAUAUGGUAAGUCUAUUUUCAUUUUUUGAAGACUCUCCGUGCUGUUUUCUAUAAUGGCUGCACCUGCCCCCCAGAUGCAGUAAUAGGCCCAGCCAGGCUUCCCUGUUACGUCGCUGGUUUAACUCCACUUCACCCCAGUGAGCCUGCACCCCUCCUGAGUACCUGUUCCUCUGUGGUCCACUGCAAAAUAAACUGCCCUUCGAAGGGAACCCAAAUUCCUCCUUUUCCCAGCCUCUCCGGGCAGUGGCCUGUCCGUGCUUAGACAAUGUCUACUUCCAGGGAGAAUGCACUUUGGGACAGUUGGGACCUAAAGGACUAGGAGCCACCAUGGAUAAUGCCACCUUGCAAAACAGACAGAAUUGGGCACUUGGGCUAAUCCUGGCAGGACUCGGGGCUGCCAUUGGACUGGCCGCCCCUGGGGGGUUCUGCCUGUCGUGAAGCAACCUCAGACACCUUACCCAGGCCACAACUGGCCUCCAAGACUAGUGAUGCCUUAAGGGACCUCCAGGACCUGCCGGUGUCGUUUUUCGGCAGCAGCAUAGCCCUGGCUCGUCUUCUGGCUGAACAAGGGGGUGUCUCUGCAGUAAUCAGCAGCGCUGGCUAUACAUACGUCAGCCACUCCAGGACGUCAAAGAAGCACUCAGGACGUUUAUGAACAAGCUAAACGGUUCCAUGGGGUCAGCAACUCCACUGCCCUGACUCCGUGGGACUAGAUUAAAGGUCACAUCCCUGGGGCCUGCUUGGCUCCUGCCUCUCCUGGGCCCUCUGGUGGCAGUAGUUAUUUUAUUAGUAUUUGGGCCCUUCUGGUUUAAUCUUAGUUAGGUUUGUGUCUUGCAGGCUUUAACAGUUCCAAGUGAGGCUCGCAGUGGCCUAAGGACUUCACCCUGUUCCCUCAGAAGGUGACCCGGCCCCUGCGGGCCCUCAGAACAGUCAGCAAGGGACUUCUACACCUCGGAGCGGGUGGGGGAAUCAUUUAAGAAGACUGGUAGGGCCCAGGAGGUUGACGCUGAGGUGGGAUUUGUAAGCCAGAUCCCCUCCAGCAACCUACCUGCCGGACCUGUGCUCCUGCUUCUGAGAAGCUCCAAACGGGCUUUGGAGCAUCCGCCC